GGGGCAGGGUAGCCUAGUGGUUAGAGUGUAGAGGCGGCAGGGUAGCCUAGUGGUUAGAGUGUAGAGGCAGCAGGGUAGCCUAGUGGUUAGAGUGUAGGGGCGGCAGGGUAGCCUAGUGGUUAGAGUGUAGAGGUGGCAGGGUAGCCUAGUGGUUAGAGUGUAGAGGCGGCAGGGUAGCCUAGUGGUUAGAGUGUAGAGGCGGCCUAGUGGGGUGUAGCCUAGUGGUUAGAGUGUAGAGGCGGCAGGGUAGCCUAGUGGUUAGAGUGUAGAGGCUG
ensembl:lncRNA